AACAAACCACAGAUGGAAAUGGCCAGAAACUAAGCUUAUAAUGUUGUGGAUGUAAGAAUUUCACCAUCUAUAUAAAGGCAAUAGAUCAUUUAUAUGAUGCUAAUUUGUGUAAGGAUUUUGAUUCUCUAAAGUUCAUGAAUUUAAGUUUAGAUUAAUGUUGGUGGAAUGUGAGUCUAUUUUGAAUUUACUAUGUGUAUUAAAUCGUUUAUCUUAUAAAAAUCAGACGGUCUUUUGCUAGUAGUGCCACCCACCUUCAUUUCCAUUCAAAAGUUCUUAUAUGUUUUCAAGCCUCUUUGAGACUCCGAAAAAUGAACAAUUUUUUUUUUAAGAACACGUACAAGAUGUGUCAUUGCAAAAACAAUAAUAAUAACCCCACUUGAUCAAAUAACAUUUGUCUUAAAAUAAUAGACAGUCUAUUUUGAAUUAUUCGAAAAAUUGCAAGGUUGAUUAUUUUAUCAAGUUCUAUAAUAUGAAUAGGUAAUCAUCGAUGUAGAUUCGAGUGGCCCACAACUUGUUAACUUCGUCACAAAGUUUAAACCCU
rnacentral:lncRNA from 1 species